rnacentral:rRNA from 1 species
UACGUAGGUGGCAAGCGUUGUCCGGAUUUACUGGGCGUAAAGAGCGCGCAGGCGGUUCAUCAAGUCGAAUGUGAAAGCCCCCGGCUCAACUGGGGAGGGUCACGCGAUACUGAUCGACUCGAAGGCAGGAGAGGGAAGUGGAAUUCCCGGUGUAGUGGUGAAAUGCGUAGAUAUCUGGAGGAACACCGGUGGCGAAGGCGGCAUCCUGGACCGGCAUUGACGCUGAGGAGCGAAAGCCAGGGGAGCAAACGGG